UACAGAGGUCCCAAGCGUUGUUCGGAUUCACUGGGCGUAAAGGGUGCGUAGGUGGUGAGGUAAGUCGGAUGUGAAAUCUCCAAGCUCAACUUGGAAACUGCAUUGGAAACUACCUUGCUAGAGGAUUUGAGGGGGGAUUGGAAUACUUGGUGUAGCAGUGAAAUGCGUAGAUAUCAAGUGGAACACCAAUUGCGAAGGCAGCUUACUAUGGUAUGAUUGACGCUGAGGCACGAAAGCGUGGGGAUCAAACAGG
rnacentral:rRNA from 1 species